CUCUGGGUCGCAGGAGUCCCUGUGUUUCGCGAGCUAAAGUCGGGGUCUGCAGUCUCCUCCCCUCCAAGGGUUCUGGGAUUGCUGAGCGCAGGAGGGCACAGAGAGCUCUGCUGUGACAGGAGACGUGAGGCAGAAGAGCUGAGGCAGAAGUAGGG